rnacentral:lncRNA from 1 species
UCAAUUCUCGUUUGUAAGAAUUUCAAAUGAACUAAAACAAAUCAAGAAAGAACAAGACAAGUAAAAUUCACCAAACUUCAGCCCUUGGAUGCAAGAAUUGAUAUUUUGGAACAAGUGUAUGAAACUCCUAAGGAAAAUUGAAGUGAAAUAGAAAUUUUGGAUUUUUUUUUUGGAUAUAUAUAUAUUUUUUUUCGUUUUUUUUUAGUUUAUAUGAAGUAACAACAAUGGAAAACAAAAGGAUAUUGGAACUUUGCAGAUUUUUUUUUUUUUUUUUUGUCAACUAUUUUUGUAGGACAAUG